CACAUCAAAUAUCCUUUUUUUGAACGUUUAAUACUGAAAUACAAUAUGUACAAAUAUAUAUUAUAUUGGUUUUAUAUAUUUUCAAUGUAGUUACAUGACCCAAUGCUGCUUAUUACUUGUUAUUAAUAUUAUUAUUGACAUUAUCAUCAUUACUUCAUGUUACUCUUGUUUCUCCUUUCUUUCUGUGUGUGUGUGUGUGUGUGUACAAAAGUGGGGAUUUAAUUGGCGGUAUGCGUGGGAUGGGAUGUGACAGAGAGUGUGCCUUCUCAAUGAAUGUCUGGUGUGUGUGCGUGUCUUACCACAUGACGAUCAGUAUUUGAACAAAGAUGGAAACUCCUCGCAAACCAGGCCGGCCCUGCUUGCGUGAGAGGAAGUGAGAGAGAGAGGCUGAUAGAGAGAAAUCAAAAGAGAAGGGAAGAAGGAGAGAGGAAUAGAAUUGUUAGGGAGCAUGGCAGCCUAGGAUCACUUAGUGUAUCAGGCCUGUAUGACUAUUUUAAUUUUUGUUUUGUUUUUGCAUAUAUACUUUUCUUUCUUGACAAAACCAUUAAACCAGAUGUGGCCACAUGUUUUAAACUCUUUUCCCCAAGUCAUGUUUUUAACUGUUGAAAAUGUUUUCAGUGAACAAGAGCACAUUCUUCAAGUUUUAUUUAGGUUUGCAUGGUGAUGACUCCAAAGCUUGUUGACAAUCAUCAGUGCACUUUGCACACUGUCCGAUGCGUCACAACAGAUUAACGGCCAAUAAUAUUGAUCUUGUAUUCUCCACAACAACUGGCACACUGACUCCUAUGGGCAGAAAAAAAACCACAAGCCAAGCCAUUUCUGCCUGUUGCUUAACCCCCCCUAUCUGUACAAACAUGUAUUUUGGACAAAGUAAGCGCUUAAGGUGCGUAACAAACAAAACCAGGUUGCUAUUAGUCCCUUGCUCAUGAUCAAUAAGACAAAAUCUAUUUUUUUGGGAACAAAAUGCUUUUCUCUGACUUAAAGUUUCUCCCAGUCAGCCAUUCUCUUGUUUAGGGCUGAGGGCGAGUAUGGGAAUAGUGCUUACCCAGCUGCCAUUCAUCAUGGCGGAUUAAUUGGUGGAAAAAACAACAAUAACAACAGCAAAGCUUUAUGAAAGUGAUUCUCCUUAGUGAGUCGGGUCUAUGGAACGUGUGUGAGUGUGCGUCUGUUGGCGUGAGUUUGUGUGUGGUUGUGUGUUUUUGACGGAUGGGUUUCUUGUAAUUUACUUUUUGAAAGUGUUGACAAUCUAUGACUGACUUGACAUCUUCCUUCUGUUUGAUUUUGGUUUUUCCUACUUUGUGUACCUUUUUGUAUUUUUAUCCUGGGGUGGGACUGCUCUAUGACUCAUCUGGUCUUCCUUAAUGUAUUAUACCACACUGUUACUCUUGAAUAUAUAUUUAUACAGAUAUACAUAUUUUUUGUAUCUUAUUCUUUUUUUUCCUUUUCCUAAGCUAACCUUUAAACCUCCA
ensembl:lncRNA